rnacentral:tRNA from 1 species
GGAGAGAUGGCAGAGUGGUCGAAUGCGCACGCUUGGAAAGCGUGUGAGCAUGCAAGUGCUUCCAGGGUUCGAAUCCCUGUCUCUCCGCCA